AUACUACUCCCUUCGUUCGGAAUUAUUUGUCUCGAAAAUGGAUGUAUCUAUAACUAAAAUACAUCUAGAUACAUCCAUUUCUGCGACAACUAAUUUCGAACGGAGGGAGUAUGAA
rfam:Triticum aestivum genome assembly, contig: Triticum_aestivum_CS42_TGACv1_scaffold_030980_1BL